GAGUUUGAUCGUGGCUCAGAUUGAACGCUGGCGGCAGGCCUAACACAUGCAAGUCGAGCGGAUGAAGGGAGCUUGCUCCUGGAUUCAGCGGCGGACGGGUGAGUAAUGCCUAGGAAUCUGCCUGGUAGUGGGGAUAACGUCCGGAAACGGGCGCUAAUACCGCAUACGUCCUGAGGGAGAAAGUGGGGGAUCUUCGGACCUCACGCUAUCAGACGAGCCUAGGUCGGAUUAGCUAGUUGGUGGGGUAAAGGCCUACCAAGGCGACGAUCCGUAACUGGUCUGAGAGGAUGAUCAGUCACACUGGAACUGAGACACGGUCCAGACUCCUACGGGAGGCAGCAGUGGGGAAUAUUGGACAAUGGGCGAAAGCCUGAUCCAGCCAUGCCGCGUGUGUGAGAAGGUCUUCGGAUUGUAAAGCACUUUAAGUUGGGUAGGAAGGGCGAGUAAGUUAAUACCUUGUCUGUUUUGUACGUUACCGAACAGAAUAAGCACCGGCUAACUUCGUGCC
rnacentral:rRNA from 1 species